rnacentral:tRNA from 1 species
GAGAUAAUGGCUUAGCAGUUAAGAGCACUGACUGCUUCAGAGGUCCUGAGUUCAAUUCCCAGUAACCCCA